rnacentral:rRNA from 1 species
CCUGAGACGUGAUGCGUAGCCGAUUGAGGCGAAGUGGAUGAUCCUAUGCUGCCGAGAAAAGCCUCUAGUGAGUGUUCAAGCGGCCCGUACCCUAAACCGACACAGGUGGUCAGGUAGAGAAUACUAAGGCGUUCGGGUGAACUGUGGUUAAGGAACUCGGCAAAAUGCCCCCGUAACUUCGGGAGAAGGGGGGCCGUGUGGCGUGAAGGGAUUUACUCCUGGAGCGUUGUGUGGCCGCAGAGACCAGCGAGAAGCGACUGUUUACUAAAAACACAGGUCCAUGCGAAGUCGUAAGACGAUGUAUAUGGACUGACGCCUGCCCGGUGCUGGAACGUUAAGAGGACGGGUUAGUGCCCUUGUGGUGCGAAGCUCAGAAUUUAAGCGCCAGUAAACGGCGGUGGUAACUAUAACCAUCCUAAGGUAGCGAAAUUCCUUGUCGGGUAAGUUCCGACCUGCACGAAUGGCGUAACGACUUCUCGGCUGUCUCAACCACAGGCCCGGUGAAAUUGCACUACGAGUAAAGAUGCUCGUUACGCGCGGCAGGACGGAAAGACCCCGGGACCUUUACUAUAGCUUGGUAUUGGUGCUCGGUUCGGCUUGUGUAGGAUAGGUGGGAGACUGUGAAGCCUUCACGCUAGUGUGGGUGGAGUCGUUGUUGAAAUACCACUCUGGUCGAAUUGGGUGUCUAACCUCGGACCAUGAUCUGGUUCAGGGACAGUGCCUGGUGGGUAGUUUAACUGGGGCGGUUGCCUCCUAAAGAGUAACGGAGGCGCUCAAAGGUUCCCUCAGCCUGGUUGGCAAUCAGGUGUUGAGUGCAAGUGCACAAGGGGGCUUGACUGUGAGACUGACGGGUCGAGCAGGGACGAAAGUCGGAACUAGUGAUCCGGCCAUGGCUUGUGGAAGCGUGGUCGCUCAACGGAUAAAAGGUACCCCGGGGAUAACAGGCUGAUCUUGCCCAAGAGUCCAUAUCGACGGCAUGGUUUGGCACCUCGAUGUCGGCUCGUCGCAUCCUGGGGCCGGAGUAGGUCCCAAGGGUUGGGCUGUUCGCCCAUUAAAGCGGUACGCGAGCUGGGUUUAGAACGUCGUGAGACAGUUCGGUCCCUAUCCGCCGCGCGCGUAGGAGACUUGAGGAAGGCUGUCCCUAGUACGAGAGGACCGGGACGGACGAACCUCUGGUGUGCCAGUUGUUCUGCCAAGGGCAUGGCUGGUUGGCUACGUUCGGAAGGGAUAACCGCUGAAGGCAUCUAAGCGGGAAGCUCGUUCCAAGAUGAGGUCUCCCACCCCUUUGUGGGUUAAGGCUCCCAGCUAGACGACUGGGUUGAUAGGCCAGAGAUGGAAGCGCGGUAACGUGUGGAGUUGACUGGUACUAAUAGGCCGAGGACUUGCUCACAA